rnacentral:antisense_RNA from 1 species
GCAAAGAGGCGCUACACUCCAAGGCGGCCCUUUGGAACCGUCCUUGGCCCGGGUGCACCUACUUUGGAUUCGCCCAGACUGCAAAUUUUCUUUCCUUUUGCUGGGGCCACGGGACAGAGCACCUGGGCAGAGCAAGCGGAGAGGCGCCACACCCCCGAGAGGCGCUUCGUAGUUGUCCUUGGACCGGGCGCAGACACUCAGUAUUGGUCAGCCCUGGAAAUUUUCUUUCCUUUUGCUGUUGGGGCCGCAGAACCAGUCUCCUCCUUUCCCCUGCUCAGACAAAGGGCACGGGAAGGGCUUUGCUGGGGCACAGGGGGGUGGGGGGGGUUCUCUGUCCCACGACAGAUGGGUCGCGGUUAAGACUUUAAUUGCUGACUUUUGGGCCGGAUCAGAUUCCUUUUCCUACCUGCCACUUCCCAGCAGCGAAAAAUCCCCCUCCUGCUGCACUCCUCCGCCACCGGGCUAGGUUGAAAGGAAAAAGCCAAGAAGCGCGAAGCAGCCCGGCUCUGGAAAGCUUUGGAGAGUCCAGCUGACUUGUACACAAUUCGCGGCCUCUGGAGCCUUAUCUGCCUUCUUGACUGAAUGCCACCAGUUCGUUUUACGCUUGUGGCUUUUUGUUGAAGUCCCUAUCAUAAGCAAAUGCAGUUUCUGGCUAUGGUUACUGCAAUUCGAAAUAAAAG